CACGUAGUUAGCCGUGACUUCCCCGCCGGGUACCAUCACUCAGAAAGCUUUCCACUCUUUCUGCCUUUUGUCCCCGGCAACAGAGCUUUACGAUCCGAAGACCUUCCUCGCUCACGCGGCAUUGCUCGUUCAGGGUUCCCCCCAUUGACGAAAAUUCCCUACUGCUGCCUCCCGCAGGAGUCUGGGCCGUGUCUCAGUCCCAGUGUGGCCGUCCGCCCUCUCAGGCCGGCUAUGCAUCGUCGCCUUGGUGAGCCGUUACCUCUCCAACCAGCUAAUGCACCGCAGGUCCAUCUGCAUGCGGGACUCUUGUCCCCUUUUCCAAAAAGAGAUGCCUCCUCUUUGCUCAUCCGGUAUCAGCUUCCGUUUCCAGAAGUUCUCCCGCUCAUGCAGGCAGGUUCCCUACGUGUUACUCACCCGUUCGCCACUCAUAUCCGAAGAUAUCCGUUCGACUUGCAUGUAUUAGGCAUGCCGCCAGCGUUCAUCCUGACGCCAGGA
rnacentral:rRNA from 1 species